GGGGUUCUUGCGGGUUGCCAGCGGAAUCAUAAUCCGCGUGUCGGGGGUUCGAGUCCCUCCUCCGCUA
rnacentral:tRNA from 1 species